rnacentral:misc_RNA from 1 species
GGAACUUUGUGAAAACUAAGGACUGAUAAUAAACCAAGCAAGCAUUUUUAAAUCACAAAACUGAUGGCAUUUCGAAAUCAGAAAUACAGUUUGAAAAUGGCAAUUCUACUUUCUCAUUGAAUAAAAAAUAGAUAUAAAAAUGUUCAUCAGUACAUAUGUUUUGAUCAAACAUAACAAGUUAAAGCUUGUAAUACAGCCUGUGUUAGUUUAUGAGCUC